CAAGACCUUGCGCUAAAGGAGCGGCCGAUGUCUGAUUAGCUAGUUGGUGGGGUAAAGGCUUACCAAGGCAACGAUCAGUAGUUGGUCUGAGAGGACGACCAACCACACUGGGACUGAGACACGGCCCAGACUCCUACGGGAGGCAGCAGUGGGGAAUUUUGGACAAUGGGCGAAAGCCUGAUCCAGCCAUGCCGCGUGAGUGAAGAAGGCCUUCGGGUUGUAAAGCUCUUUUAGUCGGAAAGAAAGAGUUGCAAUGAAUAAUUGUGAUUUAUGACGGUACCGACAGAAAAAGCACCGGCUAACUACGUGCCAGCAGCCGCGGUAAUACGUAGGGUGCGAGCGUUAAUCGGAAUUACUGGGCGUAAAGGGUGCGCAGGCGGUCUUGCAAGUCAGAUGUGAAAGCCCCGGGCUUAACCUGGGAAUU
rnacentral:rRNA from 2 species